AUUAAGGUGGCAGAAAUAAGUGCAUUAGGUUUAAGCCCUAAAUAUGAAGAAUAACUUCUUUCCUUAAUA
rnacentral:tRNA from 1 species